UGCCAGCCGCCGCGGUAAAACCAGCCCCUCAACUGGUCAGGAUGAUUAUUGGGCCUAAAGCCUCCGUAGCCGGCUCUGUAAGUUUUCGGUUAAAUCUGUAUGCUCAACAUACAGGCUGCCGGGAAUACUGCAGAGCUAGGGAGUGGGAGAGGUAGACGGUACUCGGUAGGAAGGGGUAAAAUCCUUUGAUCUAUUGAUGACCACCUGUGGCGAAGGCGGUCUACCAGAACACGUCCGACGGUGAGGGAUGAAAGCUGGGGCAGCAAACAGGAUCAGAUA
rnacentral:rRNA from 1 species